AACGAACGCUGGCGGCAUGCCUAACACAUGCAAGUCGAACGAGACCUUCGGGUCUAGUGGCGCACGGGUGCGUAACGCGUGUGAAUCUACCCUCAGGUUCGGAAUAACUCAGAGAAAUUUGAGCUAAUACCGGAUGAUGACGUAAGUCCAAAGAUUUAUCGCCUGAGGAUGAGCCCGCUUAGGAUUAGGUAGUUGGUGAGGUAAAGGCUCACCAAGCCGACGAUCCUUAGCUGGUCUGAGAGGAUGAUCAGCCACACUGGGACUGAGACACGGCCCAGACUCCUACGGGAGGCAGCAGUGGGGAAUAUUGGACAAUGGGCGAAAGCCUGAUCCAGCAAUGCCGCGUGAGUGAUGAAGGCCUUAGGGUUGUAAAGCUCUUUUACCCGGGAUGAUAAUGACAGUACCGGGAGAAUAAGCUCCGGCUAACUCCGUG
rnacentral:rRNA from 1 species